rnacentral:rRNA from 1 species
UCUGCGAUAAGCGCCGGUAAGGUGAUAUGAACCGUUAUAACCGGCGAUACCCGAAUGGGGAAACCCAGUGUGAUUCGUCACACUAUCAUUAACUGAAUCCAUAGGUUAAUGAGGCGAACCGGGGGAACUGAAACAUCUAAGUACCCCGAGGAAAAGAAAUCAACCGAGAUUCCCCCAGUAGCGGCGAGCGAACGGGGAGGAGCCCAGAGCCUGAAUCAGCAUGUGUGUUAGUGGAAGCGUCUGGAAAGGUGCGCGAUACAGGGUGACAGCCCCGUACACAAAAGCGCAUGUGCUGUGAGCUCGAUGAGUAGGGCGGGACACGUGGUAUCCUGUCUGAAUAUGGGGGGACCAUCCUCCAAGGCUAAAUACUCCUGACUGACCGAUAGUGAACCAGUACCGUGAGGGAAAGGCGAAAAGAACCCCGGCGAGGGGAGUGAAAAAGAACCUGAAACCGUGUACGUACAAGCAGUGGGAGCACAGGUUUACCUGUGUGACUGCGUACCUUUUGUAUAAUGGGUCAGCGACUUAUAUUCUGUAGCAAGGUUAACCGUAUAGGGGAGCCGGAGGGAAACCGAGUCUUAAUUGGGCGUUAAGUUGCAGGGUAUAGACCCGAAACCCGGUGAUCUAGCCAUGGGCAGGUUGAAGGUUGGGUAACACUAACUGGAGGACCGAACCGACUAAUGUUGAAAAAUUAGCGGAUGACCUGUGGCUGGGGGUGAAAGGCCAAUCAAACCGGGAGAUAGCUGGUUCUCCCCGAAAGCUAUUUAGGUAGCGCCUCGUGAAUUCAUCUCCGGGGGUAGAGCACUGUUUCGGCUAGGGGGCCAUCCCGGCUUACCAACCCGAUGCAAACUGCGAAUACCGGAGAAUGUUAUCACGGGAGACACACGGCGGGUGCUAACGUCCGUCGUGAAGAGGGAAACAACCCAGACCGCCAGCUAAGGUCCCAAAGUCAUGGUUAAGUGGGAAACGAUGUGGGAAGGCCCAGACAGCCAGGAUGUUGGCUUAGAAGCAGCCAUCAUUUAAAGAAAGCGUAAUAGCUCACUGGUCGAGUCGGCCUGCGCGGAAGAUGUAACGGGGCUAAACCAUGCACCGAAGCUGCGGCAGCGAACGUAUCACCCAAGACAACUUUACGGAGUUGACGAUUGACGGAGCGAAGCGACGUCAAAGCGUUCAUUAAAGUCGAGUUGGCUUAGGGAUACGUUCGUUGGGUAGGGGAGCGUUCUGUAAGCCUGUGAAGGUGUGUCGUGAGGCAUGCUGGAGGUAUCAGAAGUGCGAAUGCUGACAUAAGUAACGAUAAAGCGGGUGAAAAGCCCGCUCGCCGGAAGACCAAGGGUUCCUGUCCAACGUUAAUCGGGGCAGGGUGAGUCGACCCCUAAGGCGAGGCCGAAAGGCGUAGUCGAUGGGAAACGGGUUAAUAUUCCCGUACUUGGUGUUACUGCGAAGGGGGGACGGAGAAGGCUAUGUUGGCCGGGCGACGGUUGUCCCGGUUUAAGCGUGUAGGUGUGUGUUCCAGGUAAAUCCGGUUCACUUUAACACUGAGGCGUGACGACGAGGCACUACGGUGCUGAAGCAACAAAUGCCCUGCUUCCAGGAAAAGCCUCUAAGCAUCAGGUAACAUCAAAUCGUACCCCAAACCGACACAGGUGGUCAGGUAGAGAAUACCAAGGCGCUUGAGAGAACUCGGGUGAAGGAACUAGGCAAAAUGGUGCCGUAACUUCGGGAGAAGGCACGCUGACACGUAGGUGAAGUGAUUUACUCAUGGAGCUGAAGUCAGUCGAAGAUACCAGCUGGCUGCAACUGUUUAUUAAAAACACAGCACUGUGCAAACACGAAAGUGGACGUAUACGGUGUGACGCCUGCCCGGUGCCGGAAGGUUAAUUGAUGGGGUCAGCGCAAGCGAAGCUCCUGAUCGAAGCCCCGGUAAACGGCGGCCGUAACUAUAACGGUCCUAAGGUAGCGAAAUUCCUUGUCGGGUAAGUUCCGACCUGCACGAAUGGCGUAAUGAUGGCCAGGCUGUCUCCACCCGAGACUCAGUGAAAUUGAACUCGCUGUGAAGAUGCAGUGUACCCGCGGCAAGACGGAAAGACCCCGUGAACCUUUACUAUAGCUUGACACUGAACAUUGAGCCUUGAUGUGUAGGAUAGGUGGGAGGCUUUGAAGUGUGGACGCCAGUCUGCAUGGAGCCGACCUUGAAAUACCACCCUUUAAUGUUUGAUGUUCUAACGUGGACCCGUAAUCCGGGUUGCGGACAGUGUCUGGUGGGUAGUUUGACUGGGGCGGUCUCCUCCUAAAGAGUAACGGAGGAGCACGAAGGUUGGCUAAUCCUGGUCGGACAUCAGGAGGUUAGUGCAAUGGCAUAAGCCAGCUUGACUGCGAGCGUGACGGCGCGAGCAGGUGCGAAAGCAGGUCAUAGUGAUCCGGUGGUUCUGAAUGGAAGGGCCAUCGCUCAACGGAUAAAAGGUACUCCGGGGAUAACAGGCUGAUACCGCCCAAGAGUUCAUAUCGACGGCGGUGUUUGGCACCUCGAUGUCGGCUCAUCACAUCCUGGGGCUGAAGUAGGUCCCAAGGGUAUGGCUGUUCGCCAUUUAAAGUGGUACGCGAGCUGGGUUUAGAACGUCGUGAGACAGUUCGGUCCCUAUCUGCCGUGGGCGCUGGAGAACUGAGGGGGGCUGCUCCUAGUACGAGAGGACCGGAGUGGACGCAUCACUGGUGUUCGGGUUGUCAUGCCAAUGGCACUGCCCGGUAGCUAAAUGCGGAAGAGAUAAGUGCUGAAAGCAUCUAAGCACGAAACUUGCCCCGAGAUGAGUUCUCCCUGAGACUUAGAGUCUCCUGAAGGAACGUUGAAGA